rnacentral:rRNA from 1 species
UACGUAGGGUGCGAGCGUUGUCCGGAAUUAUUGGGCGUAAAGGGCUCGUAGGCGGUCUGUUGCGUCAGGGAGUGAAAACUCGGGGCUUAACCCCGAGCCUGCUUCUGAUACGGGCAGACUAGAGGUAUGCAGGGGAGAACGGAAUUCCUGGUGUAGCGGUGAAAUGCGCAGAUAUCAGGAGGAACACCGGUGGCGAAGGCGGUUCUCUGGGCAUUACCUGACGCUGAGGAGCGAAAGUGUGGGGAGCGAACAGG